UGGCAUAGGACCUCACAAUUUUAGUCUUUAAUAAAGAUGCAUCUCGAGAAGAGAGAAGGUCUCGAUCCCAUAUAAGACAGAAUCUUUCUUGACUCACAAUCAAUAUGGGACAAAAGAUGUCAUCCUCCCACAAUGAUAACCCCGCGGUUAAGGGGGACUCAAUGUGCAUGGGUAGGAUGCGGAUCCCAUAGUGAGUGCCAAUAUUGUG
rnacentral:lncRNA from 1 species